rnacentral:lncRNA from 1 species
CAAUAUCCUCUUGGUCCUUCUCUUGAACUUGAGCACUUUGCUCAAUGUUCUUGCUUGUCCCUAUUGCCCUUACCCUUCUCCCAAGCCUCCAAAAAAGCCUCCCGUUGUGAAACCACCGGUUCACAAACCACCAAAACCAUGUCCACCACCCAAGUCAUCUCCAAAACCACCCCAUGUACACCCUCCCUAUGUUCCAAAACCUCCUCACUACCCUAAACCACCAGUUCAUCCACAUCCACCCCAUGUCCCAAAACCUCAUCCAAAGCCUCCAGUGCAUCCCCAUCCACCUUAUGUCCCAAAACCACCAGUUGUGCCAGUUACACCACCAUAUGUUCCAAAACCACCAAUUGUGAACCCUCCCUAUGUCCCAAAACCGCCUGUUGUGCCAGUUACACCACCUUAUAUCCCUAAACCACCAGUUGUGACACCACCAUAUGUCCCUAAACCACCAGUGGUGCCAGUUACACCACCAUAUGUCCCUAAACCACCAGUGGUGCCAGUUACACCACCUUAUGUGCCAAAACCACCCAUUGUGAAACCACCAAUUGUUUAUCCACCAGUUGUGCCAAAACCACCAAUUGUUACACCACCUUAUGUGCCAAAACCACCCAUUGUGAAACCACCAAUUGUUUAUCCACCAGUUGUGCCAAAACCACCAAUUGUUACACCACCUUAUGUGCCAAAACCACCCAUUGUGAAACCACCAAUUGUUUAUCCACCAGUUGUGCCAACACCACCUAUUGUGUAUCCACCUGUUGUACCAACUCCAC